rnacentral:misc_RNA from 1 species
CAGAGUUCAUGCCCUAACGGGUAGAUCUCCCACCCUGUGUUAUUAUUACUCUGUUGCUUUGGCGGGCCGUCAGGCUCGCGCCCACCACCGGCUCUGGCUGGUGCGUGCCCGCCAAAGGACCCAAAACCCUGAAUUUUAGUGUCGUCCGAGUACUAUACAAUAGUUA